GAUGAACGCUGGCGGCGUGCCUAAUACAUGCAAGUCGAGCGAACAGACGAGGAGCUUGCUCCUCUGACGUUAGCGGCGGACGGGUUAGUAACACGUGGAUAACCUACCUAUAAGACUGGGAUAACUUCGGGAAACCGGAGCUAAUACCGGAUAAUAUAUUGAACCGCAUGGUUCAAUAGUGAAAGACGGUUUUGCUGUCACUUAUAGAUGGAUCCGCGCCGCAUUAGCUAGUUGGUAAGGUAACGGCUUACCAAGGCAACGAUGCGUAGCCGACCUGAGAGGGUGAUCGGCCACACUGGAACUGAGACACGGUCCAGACUCCUACGGGAGGCAGCAGUAGGGAAUCUUCCGCAAUGGGCGAAAGCUUGACGGAGCAACGCCGCGUGAGUGAUGAAGGUCUUCGGAUCGUAAAACUCUGUUAUUAGGGAAGAACAAAUGUGUAAGUAACUAUGCACGUCUUGACGGUACCUAAUCAGAAAGCCACGGCUAACUACGUG
rnacentral:rRNA from 1 species